rnacentral:ncRNA from 1 species
GCUCGAUAAAGGCAAACCGGGCGAAAGCUCGCAGGCGCAAAGCUAUAGGGGAUAAGGCGCCGAGGUUGCGUGAUGCCAGCCAGUUUACCGAA